rnacentral:rRNA from 1 species
UACGUAGGUCCCGAGCGUUGUCCGGAUUUAUUGGGCAUAAAGCGAGCGCAGGUGGUUUAUUAAGUCUGGUGUAAAAGGCAGUGGCUCAACCAUUGUAUGCAUUGGAAACUGGUGGUCUUGAGUGGAUGAGAAGUACGCGGAAUGCGUGGUGUAGCGGUGAAAUGCAUAGAUAUCACGCAGAACUCCGAUUGCGAAGGCAGCGUACCGGCAUCCAACUGACGCUGAGGCACGAAAGCGUGGGGAUCAAACAGG